rnacentral:rRNA from 1 species
AUUGAACGCUGGCGGCAGGCCUAACACAUGCAAGUCGAGCGGAUGAAGGGAGCUUGCUCCUGGAUUCAGCGGCGGACGGGUGAGUAAUGCCUAGGAAUCUGCCUGGUAGUGGGGGAUAACGUCCGGAAACGGGCGCUAAUACCGCAUACGUCCUGAGGGAGAAAGUGGGGGAUCUUCGGACCUCACGCUAUCAGAUGAGCCUAGGUCGGAUUAGCUAGUUGGUGGGGUAAAGGCCUACCAAGGCGACGAUCCGUAACUGGUCUGAGAGGAUGAUCAGUCACACUGGAACUGAGACACGGUCCAGACUCCUACGGGAGGCAGCAGUGGGGAAUAUUGGACAAUGGGCGGAAGCCUGAUCCAGCCAUGCCGCGUGUGUGAAGAAGGUCUUCGGAUUGUAAAGCACUUUAAGUUGGGAGGAAGGGCAGUAAGUUAAUACCUUGCUGGUUUGACGUUACCAACAGAAUAAGCACCGGCUAACUUCGUG